rnacentral:rRNA from 1 species
AGUGAACGCUGGCGGUAGGCCUAACACAUGCAAGUCGAACGGCAGCACAGUAAGAGCUUGCUCUUACGGGUGGCGAGUGGCGGACGGGUGAGGAAUACAUCGGAAUCUACUUUUUCGUGGGGGGAUAACGAAGGGAAACUUAUGCUAAUACCGCAUACGACCUACGGGUGAAAGCAGGGGAUCUUCGGACCUUGCGCGAUUGAAUGAGCCGAUGUCGGCUUAGCUAGUUGGCGGGGUAAAGGCCCACCAAGGCGGCGAACCGUAGCUGGUCUGAGAGGAGGAUCAGCCACACGGGAACGUAGACACGGACCAGACUCCUGCGGGAGGCAGCAGUGUGGAAUAGGGGACAAUGGUCGCAAGCCUGAUCCAGCCAGACCGCGUGGGUGAAGAAGGCCUUCGGGUUGUAAAGCCCGUUUGUUGGGAAAGAAAAGCAGCAGGUUAAUACCCCGCUGUUCUGACGGUACCCAAAGAAUAAGCACCGGCUAACUUCGUG